UUCUGUAUCACCAUAGCAACAGGUACGCAGCUACGCAGGGUUGAGCCUGGACAGUACCUGGAUGGGAGACCUCCUGGAGAAAACUAAGGUUGCUGCUGGAA
rnacentral:rRNA from 1 species